rnacentral:misc_RNA from 1 species
CAGUCGUAACAAGGUUUCCGUAGGUGAACCUGCGAAGAUCAUUACAUUUAGUAGCCUAGCUGCUAUCAGUGGGGUUCGUUAGCCUGCGAUAGCUUAAUCGCUGAUGAGCAGCAGACCCCCUGUUUGUACCUUCGUUUUUUGCGUACCAAAUGUUUCCUCGGCGGGCUUGUCUCGCCGGCAUGGACGAAUACUAUAACCCUUUUUUGAAUAUUCAAACAGCGUCUGAAAAACUUGAAUAAUUACAA